rnacentral:rRNA from 3 species
UACGUAGGUGGCAAGCGUUGUCCGGAAUUAUUGGGCGUAAAGGGCGCGUAGGCGGUCCCUUAAGUCAGAUGUGAAAUCCCGAGGCUUAACCUCGGGCGUGCAUUUGAAACUGGGGGACUAGAGUGCAGGAGAGGUAAGUGGAAUUCCUAGUGUAGCGGUGAAAUGCGUAGAUAUUAGGAGGAACACCAGUGGCGAAGGCGACUUACUGGACUGUAACUGACGCUGAGGCGCGAAAGCGUGGGGAGCAAACAGG